rnacentral:rRNA from 1 species
AGAGUUUGAUCCUGGCUCAGAUUGAACGCUGGCGGCAUGCCUUACACAUGCAAGUCGAACGGCAGCACGGGGGCAACCCUGGUGGCGAGUGGCGAACGGGUGAGUAACAUAUCGGAACGUGCCCUGGAGUGGGGGAUAACUAGUCGAAAGACUGGCUAAUACCGCAUACGAUCUACGGAUGAAAGUGGGGGAUUCGCAAGGACCUCAUGCUCGUGGAGCGGCCGAUAUCUGAUUAGCUAGUUGGUGGGGUAAAGGCCUACCAAGGCGACGAUCAGUAGCUGGUCUGAGAGGACGACCAGCCACACUGGGACUGAGACACGGCCCAGACUCCUACGGGAGGCAGCAGUGGGGAAUUUUGGACAAUGGGGGCAACCCUGAUCCAGCAAUGCCGCGUGAGUGAAGAAGGCCUUCGGGUUGUAAAGCUCUUUUGUCAGGGAAGAAACGGUCUGGGCUAAUAUCCCGGGCUAAUGACGGUACCUGAAGAAUAAGCACCGGCUAACUACGUGCCAGCAGCCGCGUUAAUAC